rnacentral:rRNA from 1 species
GAUGAACGCUGACAGAAUGCUUAACACAUCAGCAAUUGAUUGGUGGCGGACGGGUGAGUAACGCGUAAAGAACUUGCCUCACAGGUAGGGACAACAUUUGGAAACGAAUGCUAAUACCUAAUACUGUGAGAGAGCUUUGGGUCCACUUAGCUAGUUGGAGAGGUAACGGCUCACCAAGGCGAUGAUGGGUAGCCGGCCUGAGAGGGUGAUCAGCCGUAAGGGGACCUGGGCAUGGCCCGUACGCCUACGGGAGGCAGCAGUGGGGAAUAUUGGACAAUGGACCAAAGUCUGAUCCAGCUAGUCGGUUUGUAAGAUGAAGUUGUCGGUAUGUAAAGGGCUUUCAGUUGGGAAGCGGUACCAACAGAAGAAGUGACGGCUAAAUACGUGCCAGCAGCCGCGGUAAUAC